GUGAGGAAUAUUGGUCAAUGGGCGAAAGCCUGAACCAGCCAUGUCGCGUGAAGGAUGAAGGUCCUAUGGAUUGUAAACUUCUUUUGCAGGAGGGUAAAGUGAGCUACGUGUAGUUCAUUGCAAGUACCCUGCGAAUAAGCAUCGGCUAACUCCGUGCCAGCAGCCGCGGUAAUACGGAGGAUGCGAGCGUUAUCCGGAUUUAUUGGGUUUAAAGGGUGCGUAGGCGGACUAAUUAGUCAGCGGUGAAAUUUUGCGGCUCAACCGUAAAACUGCCGUUGAAACUGUUAGUCUUGAGUGCGGUAGAGGUAGGCGGAAUGUGUGGUGUAGCGGUGAAAUGCUUAGAUAUCACACAGAACACCGAUUGCGUAGGCAGCUUACUGGAGCGCAACUGACGCUGAGGCACGAAAGCGUGGGGAUCGAACAGGAUUAGAUACCCGUGUAGUCC
rnacentral:rRNA from 1 species